ensembl:lncRNA
AGCACGAAUUAAAACCUCUCAGCACUGCUGAGCACUGUGAACACCAACACAAUGCUGUUUCUCUGCAAGACGUGCCUGUUCAUGAGAUGUGUGCUUUUUUGCUGAAACAGGCACAGCAGCAACAUACCGCUGCUGUUCUUCCCAGAACAGUCAGCUGAUUCCCAGUGACUUUAAAGCUCACCUGUAAUUACACCGCAAUGCAAACCCAGACAUCUGCUGGGUUAUCUCCUUUUCAGAUGCACUGUAGCCAAUAGCUCUCUAAGGCUUUGUUCUGGGCUAUCUUAACAAUCUCUGAUAGAGGAACUUUUACUGUCCCUCUCCCUCUGAAGAUUAGGACUUUUCUACCACUCUUGGUGUUAGGUAAUAGGGUUGUCCGGGAAAGGGGAUUAAGCCUUGAUCUGCCCCUUGUUCUGAGCAAGUCGAGAAUUACUGUAUAAAUAGCACAGCCCAAUAAACAGUUGGCCCCGAGCCUCUUGUACCUACUUGGAACUGGGCAGAGUCCCAGCCAGCACUACCCUUGCCCCAAAACGUGCAUGCACUUCAGAUGUGGACUGGGAUAUGGCAAGAUUAUCAGCAGAUAAGGAGCUGCUAGGAGGAGAUGUUUAUCUCAGUGAAGAACAUGAUACAAAGCAGUCCUCGUGGCUGAAGAUAUCACUCUCCUGCACUUGCUCUGUAACCACCCCUCUAUGUCUUACAGGUGCCAUAGCUGGCCAUAGCCCUGCAGGGUUUCAUCAUCAAGAAGGUCUGCUUACAGUCAGGCAGUUUUCUUCUCCUUCACAAUGCUUCCUCACCUGGCGUAGACACAUAAAUAUAUUGCCAAUUCUUAUGAUUUUAUCACAACUGCCCCACUUUGGGUGGUUUUUUCUUUUUUCUUUUUUAAUUAAAAUCUCAGCUCCCAAAGGCAAGUCAUUAGUCAGGAAUCUCAGGUUCCAUUACGAAAAAAGAAAUGUUUCCAGACCUCAAAAAUGCUCAGAAAAAAAAAAAAACAGAGUUUGAAAAGGAAAAUCCAUUCUAAAGGUUAAAAAACAGCAAGAGAAAAAAAGGGUCUCGUCAUUAAGAAAUAAGAAAUGAAACUUCACUCCAAGGUUGUUAUUAUUUUUAAAAGUAAUAAUUACCUUCUUUUUCCCACAAAGAGGGAAUAGGAGGUGAUGAAGCUUGAGUCAUUGUCUGGGACUACUAAUAUUGAAUUCUACAGUUAAUUUGACAAAUAAAAUCAGAUUAGUAUAAAGAGGUCAAAAUCUCAUAUGAAGGAGGAAGGUUAAUAACAAAACAUGCUUAUUGUUCUAAUGCCUGUUAUGAAUGUCUCAGAUUAAUUGAAAUUUAAUUCUGUUUUGGUUUUGCCAUUGUUUGCACAGCAAUAAGAGAACAUCAGACACUUUACAAACGCUGACGGCUGACUUAGCUGGAAUACAAAUACACGACCUUUAUAUGAGGGAUGGAAGCUGAGCAUUUAAUCAUGUUCUCCGAUUGGUCCCAGGCUGUACCUUUUGCGAGGCUGAAUAGCAUUACAGUCACAAAAUGCACGCUUUGUGGAGUGCUGGCACCAGAGGAAGACAGGCGGAUUCAGUCCAACAAUAGCUUUCCUGUUCCUACAGGACAGCUCGUGUCUUUACUAGCAAAAUGCUGAAGUGCCAUCAAUUCCUUGCGUGUGUCUUUGCUCCCAUGACCUCCUCUGACGGCGUCUUUCAAAGAAUUUAUUACUACACCAUGAACCUUUAGGAAAGAACACCACUACAGAGGACACCAUAUAAACAACCACUGCAGAGACAUGCUGUCCAGAGAGGGCCUGCAGAUUACAGCUGAGAAUUCAGGAAGCAAUAUCCCAGGUUAGAAAGUGGACGAACAGGACUAGGUGGAGAGAGUAAGGCCACAGACUGGUCUAGACAUAGAAGAGUGGCCAUUAACGAGUUUGGAAUUUUAUUUAUUUAAGUAUUUAUUUAACACAAUCCACUGAAGUGCCACAUUUAGAUUAGAUGUUGGUGGAAACUUUUUGCUGAGAGGGCGGUGAGGCGCUGGCACAGCUGCCCAGAGAAGCUGUGGUGCCCCAUCCCUGGAGGCGCUCAAGGCCAGGUUGGAUGGGGCCCUGGGCAGCCUGAGCUGGUGGGUUGGAAUCAGAUGACCUUUGAAGUCUCUUCUAACGCAAGCCAUUCUAUGUUUCUAUGGUUCUAUUAAAAGCUUAUUGUUUAAAGAGAUGCUUUGCCUUUUGUAAAGCCAUGUGUGCGUGUGAUCUGAAACAACAGCUUAUGAUGGUUCAGCAAGUGUUGGAAAGGACACGUGAAGCAACAGGGAAGCCUGUAACAGUCACAGCUGUGGGGAACUUUCCCAUGUGAUGGAGAUUUAGGGGUUGGGCUCUGCACGAGAGAGUGCUUUCAGCUGCAUUUUAGGGUGAGCCACAAGCUUGAGUGGGGAGCUCUUGCUGCAUGGCAGUUUUGUUCUUUUAUAGUGACCAGGAUGAGUCUUUUGCUGCGGGUGAACAAGUCCUGACAGCUUUCAUGGUUAACCAGAUUAGCCUGAGGAGAUACAGCCUUCCCCCAGCUCCAGUGCUGCUGUGCAAGAUCUCUCCUGGUGCAACAAUGAGCAUGACAGCUUGUGCAGAUACAGAAGACAGCAGUUAGGAGGUUUCUGUGGCAAGUGACUGGUGUGAUGUGGCAUUGCCCACUGACUCCCUGCUUCCAAGCAAACCUUCUGAAGUUGAAGAGUU